UUAGUUUUGCGUUCGAUUUAAUUUUUGGUACACACGGGAUAUAACAGUUUGAUUAAGCAUUACCAAUAGAGCAAUGCAAGUUAAGAGGUUGUUUAAGCAUGUUGUUGUCUAAGAGACUCACAAAAAGGUAGGUAAAUGGAUUUAUUGCUAAACGGAAAAUAUUGAUUUGAAAAUUAAAUUUUGGUCGUACAUACUUUAUUCGUAACAGAUUUCAUCAAAAUUUUCACCUACAAAACAUUGGAACUCAAAGUGUGACUGAAUUCACAAUAAGUAAAUAAUUACACUUCAUAGCAUACGAUCCAUUAUUUUUUUAUAGGUAAGGAAUUUAUUAAACUUUCCUUGAUACCAAUCCUCUUCACAUAAAUAUUUAUUUAGCGAUCGCGUCGUUUUCCAGCGGACGUAUGAUUAAUAGUUUGGUAAAAUUGGUUUUUUAAAGCUUAGAACGGAACGGUUUAAUAUAACAAAACCACGAAACAAUGGGUUUUUCGUUUUCCAUCCUUUUUUAAAAAAGUUCAUCACUCUCAACAGUGAAUGCCACUCUCUCUCUAAAAAAAAACAGCGAUUUGCUAAAUCCUUUAGACAGGAAUUACAGCUUCAUCACGUAGUUGAUAUCUAGCCGUACACGUCUAUUUACCCUCUCCAUCUAUCCUACCGUGAACUUGUUAAAAAUUGGGAUCGCCCGUUUUUUGUCAACAAAAACAAAACAAACUCUGUCGCAGUAUUCAUUAAAAUGUCUCCGGAUCCACACGAAAGCUUUAAUGGUUAUUAAAGGUUUUCAUCAUCCGUACAUUCACUUGCUAAACAACGUUUUCAAGCUAAGCGAUAGAUAGAGACAGUAAAGGGGAAAACGUAAACGAACGUCUUCAUUAACCAAGGUCAUCCGUCUACAAAAUACCCUGUACAUAUUCGCACCAAAUUAGCGAUAAUGACUACAAGCGAUCACAGUUGUCAAACGGGAUAAACGAAAUAUAUGCUUAAUUUGAUAAGACGACAAAUUAAAUCAAGCUCAAAAGAAGAUUUAUAAAGUACGCCAUGCUAAAAAAAAACCCCUUGCUUCCUGACAUCGUACAAAAACUAAACUGCUCACAAAUAUACUAAAUAAUAAAUAAAUUAGUUAAC